rnacentral:rRNA from 1 species
GACGAACGCUGGCGGCGUGCUUAACACAUGCAAGUCGAACGGAAAGGCCCUGCUUUUGUGGGGUGCUCGAGUGGCGAACGGGUGAGUAACACGUGAGUAACCUGCCCUUGACUUUGGGAUAACUUCAGGAAACUGGGGCUAAUACCGGAUAGGAGCUCCUGCUGCAUGGUGGGGGUUGGAAAGUUUCGGCGGUUGGGGAUGGACUCGCGGCUUAUCAGCUUGUUGGUGGGGUAGUGGCUUACCAAGGCUUUGACGGGUAGCCGGCCUGGGAGGGUGACCGGCCACCAUGGGACUGAGGUACGGCCCAGACUCCUACGGGAGGCAGCAGUGGGGAAUAUUGCACAAUGGGCGGAAGCCUGAUGCAGCAACGCCGCGUGCGGGAUGACGGCCUUCGGGUUGUAAACCGCUUUCGCCUGUGACGAAGCGUGAGUGACGGUAAUGGGUAAAGAAGCACCGGCUAACUACGUG